CUGAAAAGCUGACAUACUAUAAAUGUUAACAAGAAAACGUCAACAUUGGAAGUAAGACCAAAAUGACAAACAUCCGAGUCUGGUUACAUGGAAUGGCGGUCCAGUUCCACUGGCCUGUGAUACACAUGCAUUCUUCUGAUUCCCCUGUGUCCCAUACCGCUCGCGAAGGCUCCAUAGGAUUCCAGUUGGCAAAUGUCCAAGGCUCCCCGCACGAGAAGAUGUGCUCCCAUUGUCUCGCACUCCAACUUGGACGGUAACCACUGACGACGGAAGUUGGAUCUGUAGUAGCAUGAGUGCCUGUACUUUACCAUCGGUGGGUCACACUGCAGCUGAAAACACAGCCACAAACUUUUUUUAAACUUAUAAAACAUCAUGCGGAAAGAAGAUCUAGUUAAAACAACUAAUUAUUUUAUUUAAGCAAGUGAUGAAUUGAUUGAACCAAAUAUCAAACGCUUCUUUGACAAUAUAAAGAAGUUUAGGUAUUUAAAGUUUGGGUCAGAAUUUUGGAAAUAAUUUUUUAUUUACCGAUAAUUUUUAUCGAACAUGUUACUCGCUUGGUUUUUAAUACGCAAUAGCCUAUUGUUUUUCAAUCAGAUUUAAAAGAUAUCCCAUUAAACACAGAAGAUUAAAACAAUUUUAGUUAAUGCUUAAUUGGUGCAGUUUCUAAGCAUUUUGCGAAAUCAUUCAUUACAGAGCAUAUAUUAAACCCUUUACACGAGCAGUUAUUAAAUAAUUAAAAACGACAAGAUAAGUAAAAAAAUAAGUAAAAUAAGUAAAAUACAAUAAUAUCAUUACUUUUUUAUUUAGUUCGUGUACGGCUGGCUUACACUGUAAGUUAAAGUCAAGUACGCAAUAAAAAAACGGUAUUCAUACUUCAGUCAGAAAAGUUUUGCUGUAUACAGGUAUAAGUUAAUGAAACAUUUAGCUAGCAUCUUCCAAUACAUUUACGUUUUCUAUAGUAAAUGCCCAGGGCAUAUUAGAUAGGAAUCGGGUAUUUACAAAACCGUUCUUUAAUAAUUUAAUCAUUUUCAGAAAAAAAUACGUUUAACUUCAUGUUUCACCUGUAGUACAAUGCCAAAACUUUGGCAAACGCCUUUAGUUGUGUAUACUCUUUUUUAUGAUGCUGUAAACAGAUGUUGAUUUUUCAUUCAUGAAUUUCAAAACAACUUUUGACAGUUAAUUAUGUUAAGUCCACGUAUUUGUGAAGGCUUAUUAUAGUUACAUUUCAGUGGCCUUAAAAUGUCUGAA